UACGUAGGGUGCAAGCGUUAAUCGGAAUUACUGGGCGUAAAGCGUGCGCAGGCGGUUUUGUAAGUCUGUCGUGAAAUCCCCGGGCUUAACCUGGGAACUGCAUUUGUGACUGCAUAGCUAGAGUACGGUAGAGGGGGAUGGAAUUCCGCGUGUAGCAGUGAAAUGCGUAGAUAUGCGGAGGAACACCGAUGGCGAAGGCAAUCCUCUGGACCUGUACUGACGCUCAUGCACGAAAGCGUGGGGAGCAAACAGG
rnacentral:rRNA from 1 species